rnacentral:rRNA from 1 species
GGGGAAUAUUGCACAAUGGGCGAAAGCCUGAUGCAGCAACGCCGCGUGAGCGAUGAAGGCCUUCGGGUCGUAAAGUUCUGUCCUAAGGGAAGAAUUUUGACGGUACCUUGGGAGGAAGCCCCGGCUAACUACGUGCCAGCAGCCGCGGUAAUACGUAGGGGGCAAGCGUUAUCCGGAAUCACUGGGCGUAAAGGGUGCGUAGGCGGCCUUUCAAGUCAGAGGUGAAAGGCUACGGCUCAACCGUAGUAAGCCUUUGAAACUGUAGGGCUUGAGUGCAGGAGAGGAAAGUGGAAUUCCUAGUGUAGCGGUGAAAUGCGUAGAUAUUAGGAGGAACACCAGUGGCGAAGGCGACUUUCUGGACUGUAACUGACGCUGAGGCACGAAAGUGUGGGGAGCAAAC